UACGUAGGGUGCAAGCGUUGUCCGGAAUUAUUGGGCGUAAAGAGCGUGUAGGCGGCCCGACAAGUCCGCUGUGAAAGUCCAGGGCUCAACCCUGGAAUGCCGAUGGAUACUGCCGGGCUAGAGUUCGGAAGAGGCGAGUGGAAUUCCUGGUGUAGCGGUGGAAUGCGCAGAUAUCAGGAGGAACACCUAUAGCGAAGGCAGCUCGCUGGGACGACACUGACGCUGAGACGCGAAAGCGUGGGGAGCGAACAGG
rnacentral:rRNA from 1 species